AAGUUGAUGAAUAGUGAAAAAAAUUGUGAGCUCAAGAUCGUGAAUAUCUGAACAACUAUGGUACUCCGGAGUGCAAGAAUAUGUGAACUGCAAAAUAAAAUUACUGGGUCAAAUAAUAAGAUGAACAAUUGGAGAUCAUAGAUGUGAUAUAAUUUCUGAUAAUAAUGGUUUUAUUAGAUAUAAUGAUUAAGUGUUUAUGGCAUAGAAACUAAUGUAACACACGGUUACUUAUUGUCCCCUUAUUUCUUUUGAUAAUAAGCCCUCCACUUUUCUUCAGAACACAUGGAAGCAAAGCUAAAAACCUAUGCUCUUCAGCAUCCUUUAUGUCAUCCUUUGAUCUUGAGAAUGAUUUGUGCAAGGUACAAUGAGUAGAAUUUAUGUGGACAAUUUCAAAGUAAUGUCUUAUAAAAAGAAAACUCUCUGCCCUCUAUGUACUAAGUUUCUCCUUCACUAUGGACUAGUAUGGGGACAAGGUGCUAGCGAUUAAGCUUUGACCAUGCCAAGUAGGGCAAAACCUAAGGCAUGAGAGGACAAAAUUUAAAGAAAUUUGGGUUCUCAUAUGGUAUUGCAUAACUGAGCCAUAGUGUCAGCUGUAACUCUUAUAUGGAGCAAAAAGCUUCAAACUUUUUUGAGCUGUUGUAUAGUAUGGAGGAAUGAGGCAGCUUACUCACUCAGGAUUUACCUUUUGCAAUGAAAGUGGCAUCUUGAUCAGAUUAAUGGAUUAGCCAAAAAAAAAAGAAAAAAAAAAAGAAGGAGAAGAAAAAUAAGAAAGAAAAGAAAGGGACAUCUCGAGGUAGCAGUCUGAUGGGGUCUUGCAUAGUAAAGUCAGCCUAAGAACACUCACUCAGUCCUACUCUGCAUGAUCCAUUCAAUGGCUACUUAUUCCUUGCUCUUGUGGUCCUUCCAAUAUUACAGGUGUCAAGAGUAGUAAUUAUAUGUUUGCCUGUUUGUACAGUGAUGUUGUAUGCCAUUCAGGGGCAGAGACCCUGCUUGUUUUUCAUCUUUGUAACCUCAAUGUCUAGCAAAUGAAAAGAGUGAUUCAAUAUAUGUUUAAGUGCCAGAAAUAACAUAAAAUUGUGCUAAUUGUCAAAAUAAACGUGAAUGAGACACUUUCUAUCCUCACAGACUUUACAGUGUAACUGCAAAACCAUGAGUAAGGGCAGCCAGGAAGUGGUGUAGAAGUCCAGCUCAGAAAAAGGUUUAUAAUUAUGUAUGAAUAAAAAAUGAAGCAGCUAUUAAUACUGAGGAACCAUG
rnacentral:lncRNA from 10 species